rnacentral:tRNA from 1 species
CAUUAAGAAGCUAACAUAGCAUUAACCUUUUAAGUUAAAGACUGUAGAAUGCAAACUUCUCCUUAAUGA